GGCUGCCCCCAGGAGGCUGUGGCUUGCACCCAACCACCACUGCCAUCCACAGGUUGCAAAGACCACACUCCUGGGGAAAGACAUCCAACCACACACUUCCUCCAACCUUAGCAUCCCUUCUGCACUCUGCUCAAAUGAUUUUCCGGAGGAUGACCCUUGAGUAGGGGUCAGGAGGAAGCUAAGAGUGAAGACAAUGUCCUCACGGCAGCCCUUGGCUUCCAGCUCCCCUUGGCUUCCCUUCUCUUCACUUGGUGAAACCCAACACGCAGACAUCCCUCACCAACACUUCUAGACUCCAUUUCAAACAUGGACUCUGCCCACACUGGUUCUAAAUGACUUACUUUGGCCUCACCUUCUCUUUUUUCUCCACCCUGUCAAACAAGAAAGCAGAUACCUAGGAAUUUGCGGGAAGUCUGCUGAAUGUAAGAUUUCUGCACAUCCCUCUUCUGGACUCUCUCUGGACUCUUCGAGGGUGAGCCCCCUGUCUGAUGCAUCUUUGUAACUCCCCCAUCACCUUAGCACCAUGCUUGGCACACGGCAGGUGUUCAAUGAAUGUUUGUUGAAUGGCUAUACGUUUGAACGGUUUGAAGUCUCUAGAAAUAGAAGUGGCUCUUCAGACUACCCGACCUGAAUCCAUCCAGAAAAGACCAACCAAAUCCAACUAUUACGCACAACUCUGCCAGAUUCGUUUCAUCGCUUAAAACCUGAUAACGGUGGGCCACACAAAGUCUUACUGGGAAAUAGAACAGCGCGCUCUCAUAGGGCGAUUGUGAGGACUCGAUUAGUCAGCGCAUUGGAAGGACCCAGAAGAGUGUUGUGCACUUGCAGAAAUACUCCAUGUAAUAACUACGGCAGAAGGAAUCAAAACACUUACUACCUGGGGGGUCCGGCUCCA
rnacentral:lncRNA from 1 species